rnacentral:misc_RNA from 1 species
UUAACUUAUUGUGUAUUUUCUCAGAGAGGCCACUAAAAUAAAGAAGAGUUUGGGUCCUCCGGUGGGCACCUGAAAGGCAUAUGACCCCCCCUGGGGCCGCCCACCGAAGCAACAUCUCAGGUAUGUUCACAGUGGUUUGGGAGUUUUGCAACUCUGUAAUGAUCCCUCCGCUGGUUCACCAACGGAGA